rnacentral:rRNA from 1 species
UACGAAGGGGGCUAGCGUUGCUCGGAAUCACUGGGCGUAAAGCGCACGUAGGCGGAUUGCUAAGUCAGGGGUGAAAUCCUGGAGCUCAACUCCAGAACUGCCUUUGAUACUGGCGACCUUGAGUCCGGGAGAGGUGAGUGGAACUGCGAGUGUAGAGGUGAGAUUCGUAGAUAUUCGCAAGAACACCAGUGGCGAAGGCGGCUCACUGGCCCGGUACUGACGCUGAGGUGCGAAAGCGUGGGGAGCAAACAGG